AUGCUCCUCGGCACCCACCUGCAGGCCCCGGCCCUCCCUCAUGCUUGGGACCACAUCUAAGAGAGAACCCACCCCAGCCACCAGGUCAGGAUCAGGUGUCGCAAUCGCACAAUACUGAGUGAGAAGCUGUUGUAUCAGAGCAACUAAUGCAAGGAAGUGUUUAAAAUCUCUUGUUAGAUUUCCCAAAGGGAGGAAUAUUUUGCUCUGUUGAAAACCACAAGAAGGCACAUGAGCUAUAGGAUGCUAAAAUUUCUCUACCUCCUCAGCCUUUAUCUCCUUCUACUCUUCAUGGAGUAAUUGUGUCCUCCCUUAGUUAUUGCUCCUCUGAACCAUCACAAUCUGCCUUGGUAGCUGCAGCUGAAGUCCUCAGGAGCCCUGUGUGUGGCAGAAUGAACUAAUCUCUCCAAAUGAGAAACGUGAGCUUUUGCCAGUUCUCCCCCGACAGCAGAAGGUGGCAGCUUCUGAGGUCUGACUUUCCCCCCACUGAACCUCUUAUGACUUAUGUUAAAAUCU